UAAACCCAAGGAAGUAUCACUAUAGCCCAGCUUGGAAGAGCUGUAAUAGUCAUUACUUUUGCGGCCCUUCCUGUUUAUUGCCAGUAGGAACAGAAUGUCUGGUAUCGAUGUCGGGAUCAUCUUGAAGUUCUGGAGAAAGAAAAACAACUGAAAAGUACCAUAAUAAUUGCUCCUGGGGAAAUUCCAUUGCAUGGACGCAGACUUCACCACCACUGCAUGCAUGCAAAAUUCAUCACCCCCACAGAUUUCGUUGCUUUCCCGCAGAAAAUGACCAAGAAGCAAAGGGAAGCUGCAAGAGCAGUCAUGCACUCCUCUCCAGCAGCGUGGGCAUGUUAUUUCAGGCACCCGGAACAGCUAGUGGAGAGAAUUUCUAGCUAAGGUUGUGGAAAGACGAUUAUCACAGCAUAUGACCUGAAGAUCGGUGUUACCUUUCCAUGAGCAGAGAGGAUGCCACCUUCUUUGAACUGACAACCAGGCUUUGGAAGCACAGAUCAAGUAAUGCAUAGGUGAGAGCUUGCUGACAUUUUUUCAUCUAAACAUUUUUUGGACCAAAAAUUGGCUUUUUUGACCAAAGUGAAAAUUUGUGUAGGAAAUUUUCAUUUUGGUGGAGAUUUUCCAGAAUUUUUGACAAAAAAUAAAAACAAAAACCACCACAACAACCUGAAAAUAAAAACUUCUGAAUACAUUUUUUUGGUUUUCAACACAAAUUUUGUACUAAAACCAAAGCUUUUUCUAUCAGUUUUUUUUUGAAAACCAAAAAUAUUUCAAUUUUGGUUUAGGUAUAAAAUUGAGAAACAAAACAUUAAUGGGAAAUUUAAAACACUUUUUUUUUUCAAAAUUUACUGUGAAAAAUACUUGGCAUUUUUUGGACCAGCUCUGGUAUAUCAUAUAUGCACAUUAAGCAUUUUUAAGUGGACUAUGAGAAACAUGAGUAAAUAAAAUAAAAUUUCAGUUGUAUUUAAUCCAACCCUCUGUGUAUUUAAUAUA